GAUGAACGCUAGCUAUAGGCUUAACACAUGCAAGUCGAGGGACCGGCGCACGGGUGAGUAACGCGUAUCCAGCAUGCCCAUAACUAAGGGAUAACCCGGCGAAAGUUGGAAUAAUGCCUUAUGGUUAUGGUUGGGGAUGCGUCUGAGUAGCUUGUUGGCGAGGUAACGUCCCACCAAGGCAACGAUCAGUAGGGGUUCUGAGAGGAAGGCACCCUACAUUUGAACUGAUACACGGUCUAAUCUCGUACGGGAGGCAGCAGUGAGGAAUAUUGGUCAAUGGACGCAAGUCGGAACCAGCCAAGUAGCGUGAAGGAUGACGGCCUAUGGGUUGUAAACUGCUUUUAUAUGGGGAUAGGUACCAUAUGAAUAAGGACCGGCUAAUUCCGUGCCAGCAGCCGCGGUAAUAC
rnacentral:rRNA from 1 species